UGGCUCAGUGGUAGAGCACUUGCGUGGCGUGCAGGAGUCCCUGGGCUCAAUCCCCAG
rnacentral:tRNA from 1 species